UAGGAAAGUCCGUCGCUUAUUAGGCAUAUGCACAGAAUAUAAUAGUGCUAGGGUGAAAACUUUGGUAUUUAAGAGAAAAUAAAAAGUAUCUUUCUAUAACUAUAAAUAUAUAGGUAAUACAAUUGUAUAACUCUAUGUAGUGAAAGAUAAUUAUGAACUCACAAGCCUAUGUUAAGCUUUAAUUUAGAUUAAUAACUAUCACAGGACCCGGCUUAG
rnacentral:RNase_P_RNA from 1 species